CAGCGUGAUAAGUAUACGGCGUAGCGGCUCCGUUUAACAGACCCGGUGGUGCAAGUUAGUGGCGCACAAGCGUUGACCAUUCUUUUGAAAGGUAAAGCCAUAGCUGGAAGUCGUGUAUAGUGUUCGUGAUGGCAUCUAAAGACUUGGACAGACUGUGCUCGUACCUCGCCAGCAUGCAGGCCGAUCAACUGUAUUUCUUGGAGGAUGAAACUUCUUUCGUCGUACUGCAGAUCAGGGGAAUGCCUGUGCAUAUGGCCGUCGCCAGUAUCCGCGACCAUAUUGCCGCUAUCCCGGGCUUAGAAAACCGCCUACGCUGCAUAUGUAGGAUUUACGUGUGCCUCAUGAAGAACAGUGUGAUUGGUUCCUGGGUUCUCUAUCACGUCAGUGCUACUCAAGCAGCAGAUCAAGCGAAUUUCAUGAUCAGUUGUUUAGAGAAGGCGGAUUUCAACCGCGGCUUCAUUCAUUGGACGAGUGCAACGACAGAGUGUACGCUUAUGUGCGCAUUGGUGCAAGAAAGUGACACCCCGAAUUCCGGCUUUGAAGUCUAUUGCUUUUGUUUCUGGCCAUCGCGGCCUUGUCUCGCAGUCUACAGACCGCCAGAAGGAUAUUCCGUUGGACAAAGGCAAGUUAUGAGUCAGAUACUGAAGGAUGAUUCAUUAGCCUUCAAAUGCGGCGUUUACGACGAACUUUAUAAGGCGCACCUGGACGUCACUUCUCUGGGUGAAGAUCAAGACGUGGAAGACGAUGUCACUUCGUUCAGCCGACGCAGCCAGCUAAGACACUGAAGACAUAUUGCAUUGUUCGAUGUGGAAGAAGGGCUCGCUUCACGAACUAGAAGAAUCUUGUAUUACCAGCAAUACGACGCAGAUCGAAUAACGCAAGAUUGUCAUCAGCCUAAAAGAUAUGUCGAAUUAUCCUUCCAGAUAUGAAAGCGUUUUCACGAACAUCGCUAGUAAUGUUUGCAAUAGUACUAAGAUAACCACACAGAAGACCUUGACUUUCCCUAGUGAAAAAAAAAUGCUUUGAAUGCUCCUAUCUGGAAACGCCGAUUACUUCUAUGGCGUUGUGGUGCAUAAAUGUUUGACGUGGCCAGCAAUAUGCGGCUGAAACUUUGACGAAAUGAACGCCGUUACCACUGAAGGGGACGUUGGGGUUCUUUGAAACGUUGCAAUAAAAGACCCGAAUGAAAAAAAAAGCAUUGUUCAUUUUGUCA